GACGAACGCUGGCGGCGUGCUUAACACAUGCAAGUCGAACGGAAAGGCCUGCUUUCCCUUGUGGAUUGCGGGUACUCGAGUGGCGAACGGGUGGGUAACACGUGAGUGAUCUGCCCCCAACUUGGGUAUAAGCCUGGGAAACUGGGUCUAAUUCCCGAUAGGACUGCAGGGUGGUGCCUGUGGUGGAAAACGAUUUUCUAGUGGUUGGGGAUGAGCUCGCGGCCUAUCAGCUUGUUGGUGGGGUAAUGGCCUACCAAGGCGGCGACGGGUAGCCGGCCUGAGAGGGUGGACGGCCACAUUGGGACUGAGAUACGGCCCAGACUCCUACGAGAGGCAGCAGUGGGGAAUAUUGCACAAUGGGCGGAAGCCUGAUGCAGCGACGCCGCGUGGGGGAUGACGGCCUUCGGGUUGUAAACUCCUUUCGACCGCGAGGAAGCCACCUGGUUGGAAGGGUGGUGACGGUAGUGGUAGAAGAAGCACCGGCUAACUACGUG
rnacentral:rRNA from 1 species